rnacentral:tRNA from 1 species
GCCAUAGCCCAGUGGCAGAGCAUCUGUUUGGCAUGCAGAAGAUCCCAGGUUCAAUGCCUGGUAUCUCCA